rnacentral:rRNA from 1 species
GCGCGGUGAAUACGUUCCCGGGCCUUGUACACACCGCCCGUCAAGCCAUGGAAGCCGGGGGUACCUGAAGUCGGUCGCCGCAAGGAGCUGCCUAGGGUAAAACUGGUAACUGGGGCUAAGUCGUAACAAGGUAGCCGUACCGGAAGGUGCGGCUGGAACACCUCCUUU